UUCCCAUGCUGGGAAUCAAACCAGGGCCUUCUGAUUGAAAACCAGAUAUCCUAGUAACUAGACUACAGGGGA